GUUUUUUUCUUCUGUCA
rnacentral:sRNA from 1 species